rnacentral:lncRNA from 1 species
UCGUACUGUACAUCUUAGUGGUUUUCACGGCUCAGACAGGUGUUCCUCUCUCCCCACCGCUCUCCUCUCCUCUCUAGCGACAACGGCGGCACCCGAGACGGCGACAGCGGCUGCACGCACCUGAGGGACCAACCGGAGGCGCGUGUAGCGAGCAGGAGGCGAUGUAGGCAGUGCAAUGAUCCGACGCGAGCUGGGGGCGACAAUGGCCUUCUCUGGUGUCGCUCUCCACCGACGGUGAGAUCUCCCUCCUCCACGAAUUUCUGAAUUUCUAGGGUUAGGGUUCUUGGUUUUUGGGAUUGAGGUAGAACAAGACAAAUAAAGGAAAACAAACAGAAGAGAGGAAUAGGUGAUGUAGGUUGAUGUUGGAGAUUCAGAUUGGCGCUCAGAGGUGGGAUCAAUUCAAUGAGGAGGUGUAUCAUGGUGUAGGAGGAGAAGAAGGCCAUGUGGAUGGUGGACAGAAAGAGGAGGACCUCAAGGCUGCGGAGGAGGAAUAACAGUAGAGUAUCUUGUUAGAUCCAGCCAAAGGCGAUGACCUUGUUUCUACUCUGUUAUAGAUAAACUGCUCUUUUCUUUUCUUCCUGGGAGCUCCACCGUUUUGAAUGAACUGGACUGUCACCUAGUAAUGAGAAAAAACCAUGUUUGGCCAUUUUUAACUUAGAAUGGAGUUGGGAUGCUGCUACUGUGUCUGUAUUACAAUGAUCAUCCCAUCAUUGUGCAUAUGCUCUGUUGCACAAGGCACAUAAGGAACUCAAAAAGGCUAAAGUAGAACAAAAUGUGAAAAAACAAGCCUCGCAGCCAAGAAUCAUGCAUGCCCCCAAAAGAAGCACAAAGCAUUCAUGCCCCAGUAACUGUCAUCUUAAUGCACAAUGUCACCGGCUUGCUGAUGGGGAAUGUAAUGUUUUGUUAGUUUUUGAGUUAGUCGAGGGCCGAUCAUACUCUCAACAGAUCGAAAUUUAAACCUUUCGAUCAGCUAAUCUUACUAAAGAACACAAAUGUGUCUUUUUAUAAACUUGAAUUGUCCUGGUAAAAGUACGGAUUUUCACUUUCACCUGCAGCUGUCUCUAUGUGGAAGGCUUCUGAUGUUUCUGUAGGCGCAGGCCUGAACAAUAGUGAGACAUUGUAGGCGGACCUGAAUAAUAGUGAGACAUGGUAGUAACUAGCAAAAAGUGCAAGAUGCACGGUCAGCUUUUUCUUUUUCGAAUUUAGUGUACAUUUGUUGCUCUUUGCCACCUGUUUGAAAGCACUGCAUACACCUGCAGUACACUAAACUUUCUCAGGUUUGGUUCUCAUAUUUUCACACUAUGCUUAAGGCAAACGAUGGAUGGCUGAACACCUAUUUAUUUGUAGUUUUUAUCUGUUGAUACACGCCGAAAUGAACAGAACGAUAUAGCUAGGCGUGCUCCUAUUUUACGUUGAUGUAAAGAAGCGAUGCAAUCUACGUCGCCGGCAAGUUUGGAAAAAUGUAUUAUUUGUACAUGCUCCUAUUUUAUGUUGGCCCCAGAUCUCUUAACUCGUCUCUUAAAUUUCAUACAUCGGCUGGCGAAUGUGGGCUGAUUCUGAACAGUAUGCUAAUUUCCAAAUGUGGUUUGAUAGAGUACGCAGAUCUCUCGAUUACUAGCAACAAUCUCUCUCAGGUAUAUGUUUAGAGGGGCGAUUACAAGCAGCGGUACAAGAAUUGGUAGCUAGGGUUCGUCGCGAGACAGAAAGGGGGAAGGGGAAAGGAGCCGAGCCGCCGUUCGCCUGAUCCACUGGAUGCCUCAGGCUGAUCUCGAUCCCUCCUCAAGUAGGCGCGUGGACGGGCUUCAGUUAACCCACGCCGGCCCGAUGACGCGUGGAUUGGGCUUCAUGGGCCGGGCCGCUCGUGGAGCCGUGGUGACGUGGUCAUCGGUGCUGACUUGCGGGCCUGCCUUGUCAGGGCCGUUGACAUCCCCCUCUCCUUGAGUCGAGGCUUGUCCCCAAGCCUCAGCGAGCGGGAAGCGCUCCCUGAGACUCGCCUUGUCUUCCCAAGUUUCUCCGAGCACAUCCGAAUUGGACCAGCGGACGAGAAUUUGCUCUCGCAUCUUGCCCUUCUCUUGCCUCCAUCUUGACUGAAGGACUGCCACAGGGACCGCGAGCUCGUCAGAACAAUGAGGAAGAUGAGGUUCAACAGCCAUACCCGUGUUCAGGACGCGUCGAAGCAGCGAGACGUGGAAGACUGGAUGGAUUGUUGCUUGCGGAGGAAGUUGGAGCUUGUAUGCGACUUUCGUUGAUCUUGUCUAUGAUCGGAAACGGGCCAUAGUACUUGUAUGCCAACUUGUGGUUUGCUCUUGGCGCGACUGAAGUUUGGAUGUAUGGCUGCAGUUUCAGGUACACUUGAUCACCCACCUCAAAGUUCGGAACGAUUGUUUCUUAUCUGCCUGGCUUUUCAUCAGUUGCUUUGCCCUGUUCAGGUGUUGCUGCAACAGCUCCUGAACUGUAUCUCUCUCCUCGAUCCAUGAUUUGAGAGCUGAAACUGAACAAGUGUUUCCUGCUGUGAUCCCCCAGUGCCGUGGUUCGUAUCCAAACAUUGCUUUGAAGGGUGUCAUGCCUAUAGCCGAGUGGUGAGAGUUGUUGUACCAGAAUUGAGCCAACGAAAUCCAGAAACUCCACCGUCUUGGGCACGCUUGAGUGAAGCAUCUCAGAAAGGUUUCCACACACUAGUUAACUCGUUCCGUCUGACCGUCCGUUUGGGGGUGGUUGGCUGUGCUGAGUCUGAGUUGAGUGCUCGCGGCCUUGAAUAGCUCCUGCCAGAAAUGGCUUGUGAACACAGGGUCAUGAUCUGACACGAUCGCUCCCGAAAGCCCAUGCACUUUGUAGACUUGUUGGAUGAAAAGUUGGGCCACUGAAGCUGCCAUGUAUGGAUGCGCCAGGGGCAAGAAGUAGCUGAACUUGGUUCUCUUAUCGACUAUCACCAGCAGACAGUUGAACCGGCUCGAUUGUGGAAGGCCAUCCACGAAAUCCAUGGUGAUCAUGUCCCAUGGUUUGGUAGGGAUUGGCAAGGGCAAUAAGAGUCCUGGUGAAGCCGCUCUAUCCGGCUUAGGUUGCUGACACACCGAGCAGCACUGUACAUGGUGUUUGAUUUGAAUCUUCAUCUUGGGCCAAGCAAAAAGGCGUCGUAUGCGUCUGUAAGUGACUGGGAAUCCCGAAUGACCACCUAUCGGGCUGUCAUGGAAGGCUUGAAUGAUACGUUGUUGUAUAUGUGUUCCUCCCCCGAGCCAUAUCCUCCCCCUGAAUCUGAUGAUGCCUUGCUGCAGUGUGAAUCGUCCUUUGGUAUCGUUACGCACUGCUAGUUGUUCCAGAAGUUUCUGCGCGUGAGGAUUGCUGUUGUAGCUGUUGAUGAUGUCUUUCAGCCAACUGGGUUGACGCGAUGUGACCAUGUGAAGUGUCUUUGCUUGGUUAGCUCGCGAUAGAGCAUCCGCGCUGUUGUUCUCAGUCCCCUUCUUGUACUUGAUGCGGUACCUGAGCCCCAACAGUGUGGUGAAAUCUUUUUGCUGCUACGGGGUGUUCAGUCGCUGCUCUUCUAGAUGAGUGAGGCUCUUUUGAUCCGUGUAGAUGACAAAUUCUGUGUGCUGCAAAUACGGGUGCCAUUGAUCCACGGAAACUAUGAUUGCCAGGUACUCUUUCUCGUAGGUCGACAGCCCUUGGUAUCGUGGACUAAGGGCUUUGCUAAUGAAGGCUAUGGGGUGCCCCUGUUGCUGCAGAAUUGCCCCUAUGCCACGGUCGCACGCAUCGGUCUCAACUGUGAAUGGUUGAGCAAAAUUCGGCAAGGCCAGCAUCGGCGCUGUGAUGAGCUGCUGCUUCAGGACUUGAAAGGCAGUUUCUGUGAUCGAUGUCCAGAGAAAUGGGACGCCCUUCUUCAGUAAGUUAAAGAGUGGCCGGGCAAUCACUCCAAAGUUGCGCACGAAACGACGGUAGUAUCCUGCGAGUCCCAAAAAACUCCGGACUCCCUUGACAUCUUGUGGAGGGGACCAGUUGGCCACUUUUGCUAUCUUGGUCGAGUUUGUUGCAAUACCUUGCGCGCUGAUGACGUGGCCCAUGUAAGAUAUCCUGCUUUGUCCAAAAGCACACUUGCUGAGCUUCACUUUCCAGUGGUCUUUGCGAAGCAGUUCCAACACUUGUCUCACAUGGCACUUGUGUUCUUCCAAUGUGGCACUAAAAAUCAAGAUGUCGUCGAAGAAACAGAGGACACAAAUGUGAAUCACUGGCUUGAGAGUUGUAGUCAGUCCUUCAAUGAAUGUGGGAGGGCCCCCAGCUAGUCCAAAGGAUAACACUUUGAACUCAAAAUGGCCCUGGUGUGUUGAGAAUGCUGUCUUGUGCUCUUCCCCGGGAGCGAGCCUGAUCUGGUGAUAGCCCGCGCGCAAAUCCAACUUUGAGAACCAUGCUGCUCCAUGCAGUUCAUUGAGGAGUUCUUCGAUGACUGGGACUGGGAACUUGCCGACGACUGUGAUGGCAUUUAACUGCCUGUAAUCAAUACAGAGGCGCCAGGUCCCGUCUUUUUUCUUCACUAGGAUGACUGGGGAUGAAAAUGGGCUGUUGCUACGCUGAAUGACUCCUGAUUUCAACAGUGGCUCGACCUGAGCUUCUAUCUCUGUUUUCUGCUCUGGUUUGUAUCGAUACUGCCUGACGUUGACUGGUCACGCUCCUGGGAUCAGAGGAAUGCGAUGAUCGCACGCCCUCCUAGGUGGGAGCCCCGUUGGCUCUUCUAACACGUCUCGGAAUUGGUCCAAAACUUCUUGAAUGCAAGCUGGUGUUUGUUCCAAGUUCUCAGGCUGAGUUGCUACCACACAGAGGUGUAUGACAUGUGUGAUAGAUCCUUUGCUGCACAAGUUUUGCAGUUGCAGACUGUUGAUGGUCUGGCAACUUGUCGAGGCUGCGUCGUGUCCCACGAGACGUAGCGGACCCGCUGGAGUAGGUAUCUCAAUGAAACGUGCGCGCCAGUCGACCCCAUCGGGCUGUGUUCCUCUAGCCAAUCCAUGCCUAGGAUGAGAUCGCACGUGCCCAGGGCCAGCACCUUCAAGUCCGUAUAGAACUCGUGCCCUUGAGCGUACCAGGCGCACUGUGUGGCUACCUCUGAACAGAGCAGCUCACCUCCAUCUGCCACUCGCACACCGCUGGGUUUGGAGAGAGGUUGAACUCCUGAAAGUUGCUUUGCGAGCUGCUGGUUGAUGAACGAAUUGGAGCUGCCUGAAUCCACUAACAUGAGUACUUCGUGCCCUUGAAGCCAAGCUCUGAGCUGAAAAGCUUUGGUCGAAACCCCUCCUGUAACAGCAGAAACUGAGAUGGCCAUGGCUGUGUCUUGGAGCGCUUCGUCAGAACCCAGUUGUGUGUCGACGAAGCUGUCGAGGCCGAAGAUGUCCAGUAGCUCUUCCACAACGUGCAGCUGAACGGUGGUGGGGCACACAUGGUCGUGCCCCCACCUCUCGCCGCACUUGAAACAUAGACCCCGGGCCCGUCGAUAGUCCCAGAGUGACUUGAGCUUGGACGCGUUAGCGCGGGCGGCGUCUGUGCUGCGGUGAUCCGCCGCUGGCGCCGCUGGUACCGAGCGCACCGGUGGGGGAGGAAGCGGCAUGGGUGUGCCUCCUCGCUGAGGUGGCUCCGGUGGGCGUGGGAGGCUGCCGAACGCGCCCUCGGCCACCUCUUCUUGAAGCAGGGCGAGUGCGCACGCUGUAUCCAGGUCCGGUGGUCGUUGCACGAGCACCACCGCCCGAAUAUCCCUCCUCAGUCCCUCGACAAAACGAGUCAAGAAAUAGAAAGGAUGGAUCGUGUCAGAGUAUGAUAACAAGUGAUUGAUGAUCAAUUCAAACUGCUCGAUGUAAUGUGCUAUUGAAGAUGUUUGGCGGACAGUAUAAAACUGCCUGAUCAGCGUCUGGUGCCGAUCGCGCCCAAAAUGAGUGCAAAGUAAUGAGGUAAACGCUUCCCAGUCGAAAUCUGCGAGUCGCUUCUAUAUGGACUGCAGCCAAACAGCGGCUGACCCAGAGAAAUUCAGAGCCGCCAUGGGUACCCAAAAUGAAGGUAAAAUGCCAAACAUCUGGAAGUACUGCUCACACAUAGUUUUCCACAGAUUCAGGUUGUCGCCCGUGAACUGUGGAAACACGAUGGAUGGGUGGGAUUGACCCAACCCUGACAGUAGCUGACUCGCGUGUGCAAACGGGGAUGGCGGGGUGGUAAUUUCUGCUAGGGAGGAGGACGGACCUGUUGCCGGGGGUGGCGGCGGCGUCUGGAAGGACGCCGCCACGUUCCCCCGUGGUAAGUUGAAGACGCCGUGGCCAUUGGGCCCUUGGAGGUCGUUGCCCGCGCCGCCACCGGCCCCCGUGAGGAUGCCGGUCGUCGCAGAAGGGCCCUGUUUCGGAUUCGCCCCUGUGGUUCCUCGCUCGUCCUGGUCGACGGUGGCUGCGCCAUCUGGAGCGCCGCCACCGCGUCGCCAAGACCGCCACCCGCUUCUCUAGAUCUGGCGCCAGUUGACGAGAUCGUCGAUCUUGGCCGUGGAGGCUUGGAUCUCCGUGAUUGCCUUGUUCUGGGCCUUGAGGGUGUUGUCGAGCCAGUCGAGGAAGGCUUCGAUCGCCGGAUCCAUGGCUACCAAGUGCGUCCGAGCUUGUCGAAGCCCUCUGGUCUCGAUGAUUUGCGCUAGUGGAGUGGUGGAGGAAGGAUUGCUGGUCUCUGAUACCAGAUGAUAGAGUACGCAGAUCUCUCGAUUACUAGCAACAAUCUCUCUCAGGUAUAUGUUUAGAGGGGCGAUUACAAGCAGCGGUACAAGAAUUGGUAGCUAGGGUUCGUCGCGAGACAGAAGGGGGAAGGGGAAAGGAGCCUAGCCGUCGUUCGCCUGAUCCACUGGAUGCCUCAGGCUGAUCUCGAUCCCUCCUCAAGUAGGCGUGUGGACGGGCUUCAGUUAACCCACGCCGGCCCGAUGGCGCGUGGAUUGGGCUUCCUGGGCCGGGCCGCUCGUGGAGCCGUGGUGACGUGGUCAUCGGUGCUGACUUGCGGGCCUGCCCUGUCAGGGCCGCUGACAUGGUUGGUUGGAAACCUUAUAUUGGUGGACACCGACCCUCUCCCGGCCUUGGUUGGAAACCUUAUGUUGGUGGACACUGACCCUGUCCCAGCCUUUCAAUAUUCACGGAAGCUGCAAAUUGGAGUUAGAUUUAUUUCAGUUGCCCAGAGGUGGACACUGACCCUUUCCCAGCCUUUCAAUACUCACGGAAGCUGCAAAUUUUUCUGCUGUAGCAAGACUUUUUUGUCAUCCUGGUUGUGCUCCAAUUUACUCUUUCUAUGAAUUAAUGUUAUGUGCUCCUUCUCAGCAGGUUUACAGCAUGUGGUAGUCUGCUUUUAAAGGUAUUUAAGUUUUGAUGCUACAUAAUACAUAUUCAUGAGACGGUGCGUGGACAACUUUUAAUCUUUAUCUCUCUCAUUUCAUUCUUAUCCAAUUGUAUCUCGCACAGUUUGGUACAAGACAUGGUUUAGGUUGCAUUGAAAUUGUAGUUACAGAGCUUGGCCUCUCUGUCUUGUUUCUCUAUUUACUUUCGAUUCAUACCUGUAGCUAGCAUGUUCAUCUGAUUCUCGUGAAUCUGGUACAUCCAAACUUCGCUUGUGUUUUUUUUUCAGUUUAAGGUAGUAAAGCCUCAGUCUACCUUCAAGUGUGAUAUGUUCUUGUUUGUUGGUGGUCUUUACCUGUUUGUUGGUAUGCUUCUCAGAUCCAAAAAUAUUCUGUUUUUUCAGGUCUCCAUUCAAGUGGAUGAUAACAAAUGCAUGAGGGAUAGAGAGGAAUGAGUUUUCUGGAACGCGUCUUCGUAUCUUAGUGUAUGGUGGGUACAAGUAAUGUUUGAUUCAAAAUUUAGACCUUUUUACCAAUAAUCAGUAGCAAAAUUUAGGAUUGUUGAGAAGAGAGGUGAACCUAAAGGCUUCGGUACUACUCUUAGGAUACUAUGUUGCUUCCAGGCCAUGGAUAAGAAUAGUUCAGUCGCUUGAGAGAUUGUUGAACAUAUGAAAUUGAUGGAAAUAUCUGGGCACCCUCAAGUUAAGUUGCUACCAAAAGAGCCAGGCACGCCUCCUACUCAUCAUAAACUUACAACAACAUCAUUGUUUUUUAGUGUUUUUUUGUUCUGCCGUAUGGAUUUCUAAAUGCAUCAUGUAACUUAUUGGCAUGCAGAAGGUAAUAUUACGUCCAUCCAUUUUGUUUUAUAGAAUGAAGACCGGUUCUUUCUUCAUGACGUAAUCUUACCUCGAGUGCUUUUGUUUUCUUACCUUGUAAAGGUGUGGACGUGGGAGACGGUUUAGGCCGUAAUCUUACCUUGAGUGCUUUUGUUUUCUUAAAUUGUAAAGGUGUGGACGUGGGAGAUGGACUGGGGUGAAGAAUAAGAAUUCUUCACCCUAGGUGACGAAUAUAUAUAUUGGAAGGAACAGAGUUGUAUUCCGUUAAACUGAUGCACUGGACAUGUCACCAGCAUACUUGUUCAGUACAAACAGUGGUAGAUGGCCAACCCACACCUCACGGUUGCCAUUUCCCUAACGGCGCGCCAUGGACAGUAAGUUCAUGAGCUACUCCAUUACAUGAUCAUGGUACGACCAAUAUUCAGAAGUUUUCAAAACUAACAUAAACAUGGCUUCUAUUUCUCUAAAUAGAACACCCAGCGGCGCUAGAUCAUAAUCAUUUGACGUAAUAGCUUUCUUCAUGACUGUUGAAUCUGUCUCCAGAACCACCUGAUGACACCCCAUUACUGAUGUGAUUUGAACCGCAUGGUGAAGAGCUCGAGCUUCAGCUUCAAGUGCACUUCCUGACUUCCUGAAGAUGACCUUGUCCAGCCACAACUACAACACCUCGAUCAUUCCUGACGAUGAAAGUCCCAGCCACCUGAAAGAUGUAGUUCUGGAAAGGCCCCAUUUGUGUUGAUUUUUAGAAAAUUAUGCAUUGGUCGAGACCAUUGCCACUGCAUCUUACUCUUUGGUGUUACUUUCUUUACUUGCAUGUUGUUAUACUGCAAAACAUAAACUGUGAUGGAGAUCGUUAUCUCUCCAGUUGUUCUUGUUUUUUUCUCCUCAGUUUGCUUUAUUCCUUUCUGCCCAACAGAUCCAGUGCAACAAGGUGAGCCUCUUAUCUUCAUUCAGAUUGAAAAUUUCCUGUAGGAGAGAGGGGCCACUUGGGCAUCCAACAAUUACCUCUCUUAUAUCCUCCAUUUGUACAUUUGUAGGCCUCUCCAGAUUGGUUCAACCAAUUUGCAUUUACAAAGAUGCGGCCUCCAUCUUAAUUUAAUCUUAAGGGG